rnacentral:lncRNA from 1 species
CCUCAUCACCCGGCCUCCACCUCACUGCACCAUCUCUCGAUUUCAUCCCUCCAUCCGCUGUCAUCGCUCUUCACAGCCUUUGUUUUCUCACUGUCAGAAAUGAAUAAUUUUGAAAGUGUUUUGAGCUAUUUUGAAUAUCUGAUGUUUUUAGCAUAUUAUUAGUGCCUGCCGCACAGAGCAAGUGCAGAAUGUGAAUUUAAAUGAGUUUAAAAUCUGAUCUGAGAUCCUGUUUACUGUCGAGCUAAAACAUUUAGCGCCUGUGUUCGCUCCAGCACUGCGAGGAAAGUUUGGGUAAAUUGUUUAAUGUGCAGGGCUGGAGGGAAAUGAUUGCGAGCAGAGCGAAAAGCAAACAGAGAGACAGAGCUGCACUCUUUCAGUAUGUCUGUCUCUCCUCUCUGUUCUCUGCGUCUGAAAGAGACGCACUGGUGUGAUAGAGUUCACGCUGACAGCCUGACACCACUCAUCUGUCUCCUGAGAGUCAAUCAUUCCAGACAGAUUGUGUAGAGCGUCCUGCAUUCAGCAGCUUAAAGACACCAGGAGAGACAGCAAGACUGGAAAGAAGGGACACAGCCAAGAGUGACAGGAAGAUGGAGGAAGAAAAGAAAAGAGUGCAUAACAGUAAAAAGGGUUCAGUUAAGCUCUUUCUCUAACACACACAUGCACACACACACAGAGCGAGUUUGCUGGACACUGAUGCUUUGUGACAUCACAGCACUUUGUCUGAUAUUUUAAAUAUGAGGUUGAGACCCUUGUCAGGGGCGGAGCUUCAGAACAAACACACACACACAUAUAAAUAAGAGAGAGACUACAGUGCGGAAUAGUAACCGGCCAUUUGUUAGUGGCUUUGGCAUUGGAAGUAUUUUUUACAUUUAUUUUUUUCCAUGGAGAUUCAAAGUUAUAAACCAGAUCAACAAGCUCAGAAACUGACAUUACAAACUUUGAUGCAAAAAGUAUUUGAAAAUCACAGGGAAAACAUUUGAAGAUGCAAUGCAAUACUCAUAAGCACAGUGAAUGAUGUAAUUGAGUCUAAAAUGGCAGUACGAAAUAAAAAAAACUUUUGAUUAAUAUUUAUUGAUAGUAAUUAUAAAAAGAUUAUUUGAAAUUAUAUUUUAUAUUAUACAUUUAUACAUAAUCACAGUCAGUAUCUAUACAUGUAUAUUUAUACAU